rnacentral:lncRNA from 1 species
GGAUAAGUGUAGCAUAUCCAUGGCUGAUGACUCGAGAUUCCUGGAAGGAUGAGGAUCACUUUCUCCAAAUCCUGGAAGAUCAUAUGUUACCAAGCGAAUACCAUAUUCUUGCAGUAGCGAAGUCUUAAUGCCAGGUAUUCCUGCUUGUUUUGUGAAGACAAAACACACAUAAUUAUAGCUUAUUCAAAAGCUUGAAUAAAAGACUAGCAGAAUGAACCACUUUGAUCUAUGUUUAUUCUAGGAGAAAACAAAGAACAGGAAGACGGGAAGUAUCGCAGGGGUGACCAUACAUAUUGUUGUUUGGAAAGGUCUAAGGGUUAAAAUUUAGUACAAUACCUGCAAGACGGGACGAGAGAAAAGAAUGUGGAGCAAUCAUAGAUANNNN